rnacentral:rRNA from 1 species
UACGUAGGCAGCGAGCGUUGUUCGGAGUUACUGGGCGUAAAGAGUGCGUAGGCGGUUUUCUAAGUUUGGUGUGAAAUCUCCCGGCUUAACUGGGAGGGUGCGCCGAAAACUGGAAGGCUUGAGUAUGGGAGAGGUAAGCGGAAUUCCUGGUGUAGCGGUGAAAUGCGUAGAUAUCAGGAGGAACACCUGCGGUGUAGACGGCUUACUGGACCAUAACUGACGCUGGGGCACGAAAGCGUGGGUAGCAAACAGG